GUGCUCGCUUCAGCAGUGCUUUUGCUAAAAUUGGAACAAUAGAGAAAUUAGCACAGCUCUGCACAGGAAUGACAUGCAAAUUCAUGCAGCGGUCCACAGUUUU